CGUAGGUGGCAAGCGUUGUCCGGAAUUAUUGGGCGUAAGCGCGCGCAGGCGGCUAUGUAAGUCUGGUGUUAAGCCCGGGCUCAACCCCGGUACGCAUCGGAAACUGUGUAGCUUGAGUGCAGAAGAGGAAGCGGUAUUCCACGUGUAGCGGUGAAAUGCGUAGAGAUGUGGAGGAACACCAGUGGCGAAGGCGGCUUUCUGGUCUGUAACUGACGCUGAGGCGCGAAAGCGUGGGAGCAAACAGGAUU
rnacentral:rRNA from 1 species